CCCAUCGAGGACCUGCGGGACAAGAUUCUUGGUGCCACCAUUGAGAACUCCAGGAUUGUCCUACAGAUCGACAAC
rfam:Chlorocebus sabaeus isolate 1994-021 chromosome 11, whole genome shotgun sequence.